rnacentral:rRNA from 1 species
GAUUAUCCUGGCUCAGGACGAACGCUGGCGGCGUGCUUAACACAUGCAAGUCGAACGGGGGUUGAAGAGAAGCUUGCUUCUUGAAGACCCUAGUGGCGAACGGGUGAGUAACGCGUAAGCAACCUGCCCUCCGGAUGGGGACAACAGCUGGAAACGGCUGCUAACACCGAAUACGAUUAGGAUACCGCAUGGUAUCGUAAAGAAAGGCUGCCUCUGAAGAUGCAGCCGCCGGAGGAGGGGCUUGCGUCUGAUUAGCUGGUUGGAGGGGUAACGGCCCACCAAGGCGACGAUCAGUAGCCGGUCUGAGAGGAUGAACGGCCACAUUGGGACUGAGACACGGCCCAGACUCCUACGGGAGGCAGCAGUGGGGAAUAUUCCGCAAUGGGCGAAAGCCUGACGGAGCAACGCCGCGUGAACGAAGAAGGUCUUAGGAUCGUAAAGUUCUGUUGUUAGGGGCGAAGGGUGCUGUUUUGAAUAAGGGUGGCAUUUGACGGUACUUAACGAGGAAGCCACGGCUAACUACGUGCCAGCAGCCGCGGUAAUACGUAGGCGGCAAGCGUUGUCCGGAAUUAUUGGGCGUAAAGGGAGCGCAGGCGGGAGAUUAAGCGGACUUUAAAAGUGCGGGGCUCAACCCCGUGAGGGGGUCCGAACUGAUCUUCUUGAGUGCAGGAGAGGGAAGCGGAAUUCC